AGUGAACGCUGGCGGUAGGCCUAACACAUGCAAGUCGAACGGCAGCACAGUAAGGGCUUGCUCUUACGGGUGGCGAGUGGCGGACGGGUGAGGAGUACAUCGGAAUCUACUUUUUCGUGGGGGACAACGUAGGGAAACUUACGCUAAUACCGCAUACGACCUACGGGUGAAAGCAGUGGAUCUUCGCACCUUGCGCGAUUGAAUGAGCCGAUGUCGGAUUAGCUAGUUGGCGGGGUAAAGGCACACCAAGGCGACGAUCCGUAGCUGGUCUGAGAGGAUGAUCAGCCACACUGGAACUGAGACACGGUCCAGACUCCUACGGGAGGCAGCAGUGGGGAAUAUUCGACAAUGGGCGAAAGCCUGAUCCAGCAAUACCGCGUGAGUGAAGAAGGCCUUCGGGUUGUAAAGCCCUUUUGUUGGGAAAGAAAAGCAGCAGGUUAAUACCCCGCUGUUCUGACGGUACCCAAAGAAUAAGCACCGGCUAACUUCGUG
rnacentral:rRNA from 1 species